UACGAAGGGGGCUAGCGUUGCUCGGAAUCACUGGGCGUAAAGGGUGCGUAGGCGGGUCUUUAAGUCAGGGGUGAAAUCCUGGAGCUCAACUCCAGAACUGCCUUUGAUACUGAGGAUCUUGAGUUCGGGAGAGGUGAGUGGAACUGCGAGUGUAGAGGUGAAAUUCGUAGAUAUUCGCAAGAACACCAGUGGCGAAGGCGGCUCACUGGCCCGAUACUGACGCUGAGGCACGAAAAGCGUGGGGAGCAAACAGGGAUUAAGAUAACCUUGUAGUCCCAGAACCAAGAUCUCCUUCGA
rnacentral:rRNA from 1 species